rnacentral:tRNA from 5 species
GGUCAGAUGGCCGAGCGGUCUAAGGCGCUAGCUUCAGGCGCAAGUGGCGUGGGUUCGAAUCCCACUCUGAUCA